rnacentral:rRNA from 1 species
GAUGAACGCUGGCGGCGUGCUUAACACAUGCAAGUCGAACGAAGCACUUUAUUUGAUUUCCUUCGGGACUGAUUAUUUUGUGACUGAGUGGCGGACGGGUGAGUAACGCGUGGGUAACCUGCCUUGUACAGGGGGAUAACAGUUGGAAACGGCUGCUAAUACCGCAUAAGCGCACAGCAUCGCAUGAUGCAGUGUGAAAAACUCCGGUGGUAUAAGAUGGACCCGCGUUGGAUUAGCUAGUUGGUGAGGUAACGGCCCACCAAGGCGACGAUCCAUAGCCGGCCUGAGAGGGUGACCGGCCACACUGGGACUGAGACACGGCCCAAACUCCUACGGGAGGCAGCAGUGGGGAAUAUUGCACAAUGGGCGAAAGCCUGAUGCAGCGACGCCGCGUGAGCGAAGAAGUAUUUCGGUAUGUAAAGCUCUAUCAGCAGGGAAGAUAAUGACGGUACCUGACUAAGAAGCACCGGCUAAAUACGUG